CAGCUCAAAUUUUGAAUCUGGCGGUCUUUUGGUCGUCCGAGUUGUAAUCUAGAGAAGCGUCUUCCGCGCUGGACCGUGUAUNAGUUUCCUGGAAUGGAACGUCNUAGAGGGUGAGAAUCCCGUCUUUGACACGGACUACCAGGGCUAUGUGAUGCGCUCUCGACGANUCGAGUUGUUUGGGAAUGCAGCUCAAAUAGGGUGGUAAAUUCCAUCUAAAGCUAAAUAUNGGCGAGAGACCGAUNNCNAACAANUACCGUGAGGGAAANAUGAAAAGAACUUUGGAAAGAGAGUUAAACAGUACGUGAAAUUGCUGAAAGGGAAACGCUUGAUGUCNNUCGCGUCNGCCGGGGA
rnacentral:rRNA from 1 species